GCUGAUUGUGGCUCAGUGGUAGAGCACUUGCCUAGCACAUGCAAGGCCCUGGGUUCAAUUUCCAGCAUCACCA
rnacentral:tRNA from 1 species